rnacentral:lncRNA from 1 species
CAUUUGAAGGCGUUUCCUUUUCUUUAAGAACAAAGGUUGGAGCCCAAGCCUUGCGGCGCGGUGCAGGAAAGUACACGGCGUGUGUUGAGAGAAAAAAAAUACACACACGCAAUGACCCACGAGAAAGGGAAAGGGGAAAACACCAACUACCCGGGCGCUGGGCUUUUUCGACUUUUCCUUUAAAAAGAAAAAAGUUUUUCAAGCUGCGCGGGCUUCCUGUGCGCGGCCGAGCCCGGGCCCAGCGCCGCCUGCAGCCUCGGGAAGGGAGCGGAUAGCGGAGCCCCGAGCCGCCCGCAGAGCAAGCGCGGGGAACCAAGGAGACGCUCCUGGCACUGCAGAUAACUUGUCUGCAUUUCAAGAACAACCUACCAGAGACCUUACCUGUCACCUUGGCUCUCCCACCCAAUGGAGAUGGCUCUAAUGGUGGCACAAACCAGGAAGGGGAAAUCUGUGGUUUAAAUUCUUUAUGCCUCAUCCUCUGAGUGCUGAAGGCUUGCUGUAGGCUGUAUGCUGUUAAUGCUAAUCGUGAUAGGGGUUUUUGCCUCCAACUGACUCCUACAUAUUAGCAUUAACAGUGUAUGAUGCCUGUUACUAGCAUUCACAUGGAACAAAUUGCUGCCGUGGGAGGAUGACAAAGAAGCAUGAGUCACCCUGCUGGAUAAACUUAGACUUCAGGCUUUAUCAUUUUUCAAUCUGUUAAUCAUAAUCUGGUCACUGGGAUGUUCAACCUUAAACUAAGUUUUGAAAGUAAGGUUAUUUAAAAGAUUUAUCAGUAGUAUCCUAAAUGCAAACAUUUUCAUUUAAAUGUCAAGCCCAUGUUUGUUUUUAUCAUUAACAGAAAAUAUAUUCAUGUCAUUCUUAAUUGCAGGUUUUGGCUUGUUCAUUAUAAUGUUCAUAAACACCUUUGAUUCAACUGUUAGAAAUGUGGGCUAAACACAAAUUUCUAUAAUAUUUUUGUAGUUAAAAAUUAGAAGGACUACUAACCUCCAGUUAUAUCAUGGAUUGUCUGGCAACGUUUUUUAAAAGAUUUAGAAACUGGUACUUUCCCCCAGGUAACGAUUUUCUGUUCAGGCAACUUCAGUUUAAAAUUAAUACUUUUAUUUGACUCUUAAAGGGAAACUGAAAGGCUAUGAAGCUGAAUUUUUUUAAUGAAAUAUUUUUAACAGUUAGCAGGGUAAAUAACAUCUGACAGCUAAUGAGAUAUUUUUUCCAUACAAGAUAAAAAGAUUUAAUCAAAAAAUUUCAUAUUUGAAAUGAAGUCCCAAAUCUAGGUUCAAGUUCAAUAGCUUAGCCACAUAAUACGGUUGUGCGAGCAGAGAAUCUACCUUUCCACUUCUAAGCCUGUUUCUUCCUCCAUAUGGGGAUAAUACUUUACAAGGUUGUUGUGAGGCUUAGAUGAGAUAGAGAAUUAUUCCAUAAGAUAAUCAAGUGCUACAUUAAUGUUAUAGUUAGAUUAAUCCAAGAACUAGUCACCCUACUUUAUUAGAGAAGAGAAAAGCUAAUGAUUUGAUUUGCAGAAUAUUUAAGGUUUGGAUUUCUAUGCAGUUUUUCUAAAUAACCAUCACUUACAAAUAUGUAACCAAACGUAAUUGUUAGUAUAUUUAAUGUAAACUUGUUUUAACAACUCUUCUCAACAUUUUGUCCAGGUUAUUCACUGUAACCAAAUAAAUCUCAUGAGUCUUUAGUUGAUUUAAAAUAA